rnacentral:misc_RNA from 1 species
AAAGUCGUAACAAAGGUUUCCGUAAGGUGAACCUGCGGAAGGAUCAUUAAAAGAGUAAAGGGGUGCUCAGCGCCCGCCUCCAAACCCUUUGUUGUUAAAACUACCUUGUUGCUUUGGCGGGACCGCUCGGUCUCGAGCCGCUGGGGAUUCGUCCCAGGCGAGCGCCCGCCAGAGUUAAAACCAAACUCUUGUUAUUUAACCGGUCGUCUGAGUUAAAAUUUUGAAUAAAUCAAAA